rnacentral:ncRNA from 1 species
CAACCUGAGCUCAGUCGUGAUUACCCGCCGAACUUAAGCAUAUCAUUCAGCGGAGGAAAAGAAACUAACUAGGAUUCCCCAAGUAAUGGCGAAUGAAAGGGGAAGAGCCCAGCGCUGAAUCUCUCGGUCUUAGGCCGCUGAGAACUGUAGCGUAUAGGUGUGACUGUCCUGCUAUAUUGCAUUUCCGAAGUCUCUUUGAUAGGGGCCAACAUCCAGAGAGGGUGACGAGACCUGUACGGAAAGUAGUAUAGUUGGUAUGGUUACUCCUUGGAGUCGGGUUGCUUGAAAGUGCAGCCUAAAGUUGGUGAUAAACUUCAUCUAAGGCUAAAUAUCGACGCGAAAUCGAUAGCAAACAAGUACCGUGAGGGAAAGUUGCAAAGAACUUUGAAGAGAGAGUUCAAGAGAACGUGAAAUCGCUGAAGUGGAACCGGAGAGAGUUAACAUAACUUGGUAGCUAUAUCCUCUAAAGUCGCUUAACUGUGGCUCUGGGGGGUGGACGCUACCUGUUGUUGCACUGACUGCGUUGAUUGUGCUUUCCGAACAGUAUAGUGUUGCCCACUUUGUGGUGUCUUGCUUUCUGGGAGGUUUGUCAUAAUUAACGUAAAGCCAAUUCCCUUUGGAGUCAGUGUGAAAGUUAACCACCUUUCCGACCCGUCUUGAAACACGGACCGAGGAGUGUAAUUUAUACGCGAGUCAAGGGG